rnacentral:rRNA from 1 species
UUGAACGCUGGCGGAAUGCUUUACACAUGCAAGUCGAGCGGCAGCGCGGGGGCAACCCUGGCGGCGAGCGGCGAACGGGUGAGUAACACAUCGGAACGUACCCAGUAAUGGGGGAUAACUAAUCGAAAGGUUAGCUAAUACCGCAUACGCCCUGAGGGGGAAAGUGGGGGAUCGCAAGACCUCACGUUAUUGGAGCGGCCGAUGUCGGAUUAGCUAGUUGGUGAGGUAAAGGCUCACCAAGGCGACGAUCCGUAGCGGGUCUGAGAGGACGGCCCGCCACACUGGAACUGAGACACGGUCCAGACUCCUACGGGAGGCAGCAGUGGGGAAUUUUGGACAAUGGGCGCAAGCCUGAUCCAGCCAUUCCGCGUGAGUGAAGAAGGCCUUCGGGUUGUAAAGCUCUUUCGGCAGGAACGAAACGGUGAGGGCUAAUAUCCCUUGCUAAUGACGGUACCUGAAGAAGAAGCACCGGCUAACUACGU